rnacentral:rRNA from 1 species
UACGAAGGGGGCUAGCGUUGCUCGGAAUCACUGGGCGUAAAGCGCACGUAGGCGGACUCUUAAGUCGGUGGUGAAAUCCUGGAGCUCAACUCCAGAACUGCCUUCGAUACUGAGAGUCUCGAGUCCGGGAGAGGUGAGUGGAACUGCGAGUGUAGAGGUGAAAUUCGUAGAUAUUCGGAGGAACACCAGUGGCGAAGGCGGGCUCACUGGCUCGGUACUG